AUGAAUGGCUCUUAUACCACUCUCAUUCUGUACCCCAACUCACAGCACCUUCUCAUAUGUCUGGGUAGUAGUACCAACCCGUGCUCCUUUUUCUCAUCAGUCCUCCUCCUACAUCCAUAUGCCCUGGAAGAACUAGAGACAGUACCCUCAGAAGAAAUAAUGAAACCCUACCAAGAUGUACCCCCAGAAGAAUUGACUGAAAAAUGGAAACAUGAAAACUAUUCACGGAGCCUACAAAUCACAUGUGAACAAAUGUAUCUUACGUUAAAAAGGAGCUGGGUGGCCUGCCUGCCUUACCUGAGGGAACCAAAUGUUUUAUGGCUUUACCUAGUGCCUUAAAGCAACCAAAGGAAGUCCUUCAUCAUAUGAUACACUUGUGGGUUCAUGGGUACUCCCUGUACCCCAUCUUGCUCCAGUACUAUACUUGGAAGGGGAGCUAUUUAUAUUACAUUAAAACUGGCUUAAAAGGAAAUGUUUAGAGAAAGCAACUGUUUCAGGGAAUUCUGAGUCAGGAUGAGAGACUGUUUUCAUUUUCUAUCUGAUGUCUAAGCAGAUAAAUGACUCCCCUCAACUGACAAGGAGAAUUGGAAAGCUCUUAAAGAAUUCUCUAUAUUCAAGGCCCAGAGAACCAAAAUCUGGCAAGUCAGUGAAUUCAAGACAAAUGUUUCCCUUUCUUCUCCCUGUGUAAGCCAAGGGACAAGACAAGAAAUUCAUGGGAGCAUGAUAUCUGGGAUGAUUUCAAGGUUGGUUAUCAUCACCAAUCAUCACUUAUAAGCACCGUCAUACUUAAAAAAAAUAGUUAUUUGGGUUCUUUCCUAUACCUUAGGUUCCUAUCCCAGAAGUCAUUCUUAAAAGUAUAAUUGAAUAAGAAACUUUGGAACUGUAAGAAAUGAUGAGUAGAUUAAUUUAAAAAAAAACAACUUUGAAUUAAUUAAAUACAAAUUUCCAAAACUUAAAA
rnacentral:lncRNA from 1 species